CCUCUAUCUCUACACACAUAUCAUCUCUCUCCGGCCACUCAGAUAUGAACGGAGACAGUUCUUUAGAAUUUUUAGGCACUUUGUUUGGUUCUCAACCCAUGUUCUUCGCAUUUUUAAUUAUAUGCAGGGUGUUUUUUCAAGCAUUUCCAAUUUUUAUUUUUAUAUUUUCAACUUAUUGUACUGUGUUUUGGAUAAUCACUGCCAUAUUGUUCUUCCUUGUAUAUUAAUCAUCUUGUAUUACAAACAGGUUUGCCAUCAUGGGAAUCAUGACAAACUACUUUGGGCCUCCUCGACCUGGUUCUCAAAGUUAAACUUUUGAUCAUGCACUUGGUGGAGCACCUCGGAGUACUGUUUAUGAUCCUUAUUAUUGUUACAUUAGUGCGGAUUCCAUGGAUUUUGCAGUCUGUAAUGAACUUCUUGGAUUAUCUUGUGUUGCAGCUUUAGAACGUACUGUGUUUAUCUUCUAUAUGUAUACCGAUCUGUGUCAGAAUUGUAUUGUUACAACUUCUCCGGUAUGCAAUCAAUGUCGGAGCAAUUUAGGCUCUCUAAUUCAGAACAAUUUAUGGCAACACCUUUAUGUGUACGUGUUUGUGUAUGUGCUUGGGCCUAGUAAUUGAAACACCUUAGUUGCUGGAUGAGUUUCACGCAAUAAACUAAAAGUUGUCUGGGACAGAACUAGGAGGAUACUCUUCCUUUGCUUCUGGG
rnacentral:lncRNA from 1 species